UACGGGGGGGGGCAAGCGUUGUUCGGAAUUACUGGGCGUAAAGGGCGCGUAGGCGGCCACCGCAAGUCGAUUGUGAAAUCUCCGGGCUUAACCCGGAAAGGUCAACCGAUACUGCGGGGCUAGAGUGCAGAAGGGGCAACUGGAAUUCUCGGUGUAGCGGUGAAAUGCGUAGAUAUUGGGAAGAACACCGGUGGCGCAAGCGACUCGCUGGGCCGUAACUGACGCUGAGGAACGAAAGCUAGGGGAGCGAAUGGG
rnacentral:rRNA from 1 species